rnacentral:lncRNA from 10 species
AUGGAAUACUAUGCCGCAGUAAAAAGAACAAAAUCGUGUCCUUUGCAGCAACAUGCAUGGAGCUAGAGACAAUUAUCCUAAGAAAACUAAUGCAGGAGUAGAAAACCAAAUACUUAAUGUUUUCCCUUAUAAGUGGGAGCUAAACAUUGAGUACAUAUGGAUACAAAGAAGGGAACAACAGACAUCAGAGUCUACUUGAGGGCGGAGGAUGGGAAGAGGGUGAGGCUGGAAAAACUACUCCUGUGACAUGCAAUGUACCUACAUAACAAACCUGCACAUGUACUCCUGAACCUAGAAAAAAAGUCACAUCUCUGUCUUAAUGUCUGUCCUCUGUAGAUGCCUUGAGCCUCUUAUGGGAUCAUGAGGAUUGUGUGCUGGGAUCCCGGCAGACAAAGCUGAGAUUCAGCUGGAUAAAGCAGGCUGUAGCACAGCUGAUGUUUGUUCUCUGUGGAAAUCAGGCUCUUUUCUCCUAAGGCUGUACUGGAUAUCAGGAACUUGUAACUAUCUGGCAGCUGCUGGUAUCCUGGAGGACUGCUUAUCUUGCACAAUAUAUUAGGUGCUGAUGCACGAGUUUGCAAGGGAUGCAGAGUCUGCUGUGAAAAAAGCCCACAGGGCUUCACACAGGAGGACAAGUCAGUAUGGCCUUCUAACCUUACUUAUCCUGCCUCAGAACCACCUGAGAGGCUGCUGGAUCCGAUCACCACCUGGACAGUGCCCUGUUAACAGAUCUGCGUUAACCAACAAAUACAGAUCUGUAUUAACCAAAGAGCUGCUUGGUUUGCAGAUGACAGUUCCAAGAUGGAUGAAUGGCAUCCUGUCUGGAAGGCCACCACACUAAGACUGGCAGAUUGAAAGGCUCUGUUUGAAGAAGGUAACAAAUUAACUCAACAGACUUAAUUACAUGCUGUUUUCCUGGCAGUGAUGGGAGAAUUGAACAACAAUAAAAAAGCCUUUAGGUUUGGGUUUUUACUGACUCAUGGGCAGUGGCCAGUGGCGUGGCUAUAUGGUCAAGUAGAUGGGCAAUGGAACACUGGUCUAUUAAAUGGAUGCUCACAUAGGGCAUGACCUUAUGGAAAUUAGGCAAGUCUCCUCUAAGAAAGACUUGGUCAGAGACCAGGGGGUGGCCAGUAUAUUAAAAUAUACCCCUGAGUAUUUAAGGAGUGCAUUAAAAUAGGACAUGUUGAUGCCCACAAGAAGAGCUCCUUUCUAGGGUCAGAAGGUAAUUAGAAUUGACAAAAAUAUAUCCUGGUUUGCUGCUUGAUGUGGCUACUUGGGUCCCUGAAAUGAAAGGAUGUGGAAGUAUUACAGCAAUGCAGAGAUGGACUGAAUCCAGCCAUUUUCCUCUUGCAGAAAUUGCCAACAAGAUCUGGUCUGGUCUGUGUGCCAAUAAAAGAGACAAAGACUGCAGAUGGCUAUGGGACAGAUUUCCUGGGAGAGGGUCCUCCCAUAGCUGACAAGUUGAUUACAAUUCUUCUCCAGAUCACCUCAUUUUUUUUUUUUCUGUAUCAUUUCAAUUUUCUUUUUUCCUACUUGAUGUAGUGAUCCCAGCACCAGAGCUGUGACUGCAGAUUCAGGAGUCAGGGAUGAUCCCUAAGCAGGAAACUGUAACUGUACUUUGAAACUUUUAGAUCAGAAUUCCUAAGAUCCUGAUGAAAUGAAUUGUGCCUUCACCCCAUCCUGCAGAAUUGGGGUUGACAGUGACUGCAACAAUAUUGCCUAGUGGUAAUGAUGCCCCACUAGUUCUGUGCCUGUCUAACCCUACCCUAUGUCAGCAAGAGUGAGCCGAGGGUGUGACACCUGCUGGACUAAUCUUGUUGCUGGACAUCUGGAUCAGGACAGUGGCUGAACCUCACGUCUCUCAGAGGUGGCAAAGGAUGGGUCAAAAGAUAAAGGGAGAGAGGAGGAAUAGCAGUUGAAGAUGAAUGAAUAAAUGAGCUAUGUAAUGAGGAAAAUCCACUAUUACAUUUGUACCUCAAGAGAGGCUCAAAGCAAGAGAUGAUAUUGUCUCUCUUAGCUCAAUCAUAUCAGAUGUCUGAAAGGGUGAGGCCAUUUGUUGCCAAGACCACUUCUGCUUUUGGAACCUGACAAACUAGAAUAGAAGCCUGCAAACCUGAGUGGCAUUGCUCUGGGAGACAUUUUGGGCAUAUGAAUUAAUGAUAAACUGAAUCAACUGUUAAUGACUGAGUGAGAUUCUGGUAAUCUACCAUUCUGCAAAAACAGUAUGACACUGGUAUUGCUG